CGUAGGGAGCUUCUAGUGGUGUACGCGCCUCAAUUCUGCCGCUAUGAUCAACAUUUUAGGCGACUCAAUCCCCAGGACCACAGGAGACCCCGGAACUAAGAAAGGAAUGCACAGGCUUUGAACUCCAAGGUUGGGAUAGUGUCUGUUCUUCUGUUCUGGCCAUUGUCUUCCCAACACUGUGGGAGAUUUGGCAGCUGCCUAAGGUUCACGGCAUACUCAUCAUUCACGAGAUGGGUCUGGGGAUACCUUGGUCCAAGGAACAGACGACAGGUUCCUGGAUGCGUUGUCCGAGCCAUCAGGAGGGAGUUCCCAUCUACGUCCUAUCAAGGCUAUCAGCGUUAGGACCAUCGAAGCAAGGGUGUCUUGACAAGAGAGACAAGCUGGUGCAUACUGAUGGCUGGAACUGGAGACAUGUAGUGGCAAGACAAAAAUUUUGCUGACAUAGGCACACUUUGUGUAAAUGAG